rnacentral:rRNA from 1 species
UUGGACCUGAUAUCAGCAAGAUUACCCGCUGAACUAUCUAAGGGGGGGGGAGAGAAAAAAAAA